AGUGAACGCUGGCGGUAGGCCUAACACAUGCGAGUCGAACGGCAGCACAGUAAGAGCUUGCUCUUACGGGUGGCGAGUGGCGGACGGGUGAGGAAUACAUCGGAAUCUACUUUUUCGUGGGGGAUAACGUAGGGAAACUUACGCUAAUACCGCAUACGACCUACGGGUGAAAGCAGGGGAUCUUCGGACCUUGCGCGAUUGAAUGAGCCGAUGUCGGAUUAGCUAGUUGGCGGGGUAAAGGCCCACUAAGGCGACGAUCCGUAGCUGGUCUGAGAGGAUGAUCAGCCACACUGGAACUGAGACACGGUCCAGACUCCUACGGGAGGCAGCAGUGGGGAAUAUUGGACAAUGGGCGCAAGCCUGAUCCAGCCAUACCGCGUGGGUGAAGAAGGCCUUCGGGUUGUAAAGCCCUUUUGUUGGGAAAGAAAAGCAGCAGGUUAAUACCCCGCUGUUCUGACGGUACCCAAAGAAUAAGCACCGGCUAACUUCGUG
rnacentral:rRNA from 1 species